rnacentral:tRNA from 1 species
GUGAGCAUGGCGAAGUGGUUAACGCACCGGAUUGUGGAUCCGGCACGCGUGGGUUCGAUUCCCACUGCUCACCCCA